ACGAUUUGUUGUCUGCUGGUGUUGCCUUAAUAAAUUAUCCUAUUUAGCAUAUUACAAAUAAUUACUGGAGAUACUAAGCAAGCCUUAAAAUUAUAAUCAUUUUGAAAAAAUGAAGCCCUGAGUCCGGGUCUCUCAGAACUAAAUUAAAAAAUGUAAAUUUGUACAUAAACACUUUUAGACGGAUUAUAUCGAAAAAAUAACAAAAAAAAAUAUAAAUUUUGAAAUGGCUGACCCAGACACAACCGUAGGACCCUUUCCACCAAGUGAUGAAUUCAGCUGCUGUGCCACACCUUCGGGGUCUUCAGUAAUUAAUUUUUGUAGAUUCUUUAUGGUCACAGGCAUACUUUUAGUUACAUGGAUUAGAUUAAAUUAUUUGACUAUUACCUCAUAA